GUACAAAUACUUUUUGAAGUCAAGGGACAAUUCGAUUAUCCAACCACUGAAAAAACUGUGCCCUGAAAUCAACGGAGUUUACCUUUGCUCCGCCGAGGAGGAGGUUCAUCAAGCAACACCUUGCGGCGAGAACAUAUUGCUUCAUGUAAAUGUGGAACGUUACCC